AAAGAAGAGAGUUAGAGCAUAGCCAGAGGUUUCGUCAUCUGAUGAAGAAGCUCCUGUCAUUACACAAGAGCAAAACUUGCAAACUAGGGAGUUGGCACAACAUGAUCCACUUAAUAAUGAGGAUAGUGUCAUUUCUUCAUUGAUCGAAGAGCAUCAAGCAAGCCAGAACAUGGAGCAACCUGAACCAGGACCUCUGCCAGGAUCUUCUUUUAUUGCAAAUCAUGUCCAAAGCCAACCCCCUGUGCAACCAACUACCAUAACAAAAGAG